rnacentral:rRNA from 1 species
ACGACCUCAAAUCAGACGAGACAACCCGCUGAAUUUAAGCAUAUUACUAAGCGGAGGAAAAGAAACUAACCAGGAUUCCCUCAGUAGCGGCGAGUGAAGAGGGAAGAGC